GUCGUACGAGAGUUUUUACUCAAGUGGCGGACGGGUGAGUAACACGUAAGAAUUUGCCUUUAGGAGGGGGACAACAACUGGAAACGGUUGCUAAUACCCCAUAUGCUUUCGAGUGAAAUGGUUUUUCCGCCUAAAGAGAAGCUUGCGGCUGAUUAGCUUGUUGGUAAGGUAAUGGCUUACCAAGGCGACGAUCAGUAUCUGGUUUGAGAGGACGAUCAGACACACUGGAACUGAGACACGGUCCAGACUCCUACGGGAGGCAGCAGUGGGGAAUUUUCCGCAAUGGGCGAAAGCCUGACGGAGCAAUACCGCGUGAGGGAUGAAUGCCUAUGGGUUGUAAACCUCUUUUUUUCAGGGAGGAAUCAAUGACGUGUACCUGAAGAAUAAGCAUCGGCUAACUCCGUGCCAGCAGCCGCGGUAAUACG
rnacentral:rRNA from 1 species